GGUGGCGAGUGGCGAACGGGUGAGUAAUAUAUCGGAACGUACCCUAGAGUGGGGGAUAACGUAGCGAAAGUUACGCUAAUACCGCAUACGAUCUAAGGAUGAAAGUGGGGGAUCGCAAGACCUCAUGCUCGUGGAGCGGCCGAUAUCUGAUUAGCUAGUUGGUAGGGUAAAAGCCUACCAAGGCAUCGAUCAGUAGCUGGUCUGAGAGGACGACCAGCCACACUGGAACUGAGACACGGUCCAGACUCCUACGGGAGGCAGCAGUGGGGAAUUUUGGACAAUGGGCGAAAGCCUGAUCCAGCAAUGCCGCGUGAGUGAAGAAGGCCUUCGGGUUGUAAAGCUCUUUUGUCAGGGAAGAAACGGUGGGAGCUAAUAUCUCUUGCUAAUGACG
rnacentral:rRNA from 1 species